rnacentral:misc_RNA from 1 species
GAUGAAGAACGUAGCGAAAUGCGAUAAGUAGUGUGAAUUGCAGAAUUCAGUGAAUCAUCGAAUCUUUGAACGCACAUUGCGCCCCUUGGUAUUCCAUGGGGCAUCCCUGUUCGAGCGUCAUUUGUACCUUCAAGCUUUGCUUGGUGUUGGGUGUUUGUCUCGCCUCUGCGUGUAGACUCGCCUUAAAACAAUUGGCAGCCGGCGUAUUGAUUUCGGAGCACAGUACAUCUCGCGCUUUGCACUCAUAACGACGACGUCCAAAAGUACAUUUUUACACUCUUGACCUCGGAUCAGGUAGGGAUACCCGCUGAACUUAAGCAUAUCAAUAAGCGGAGGA